GACGAACGCUGGCGGCGUGCCUAACACAUGCAAGUCGAGCGAGGAGAGUUCCUUCGGGAACAAACCUAGCGGCGGACGGGUGAGUAACACGUGGGCAACCUGCCUUGUAGAGGGGAAUAGCCUUCCGAAAGGAAGAUUAAUACCGCAUAACAUUACAGUUUCGCAUGAAACAGUAAUUAAAGGAGUAAUCCGCUACAAGAUGGGCCCGCGGCGCAUUAGCUAGUUGGUGAGGUAACGGCUCACCAAGGCGACGAUGCGUAGCCGACCUGAGAGGGUGAUCGGCCACAUUGGGACUGAGACACGGCCCAGACUCCUACGGGAGGCAGCAGUGGGGAAUAUUGCACAAUGGGGGAAACCCUGAUGCAGCAACGCCGCGUGAGUGAUGAAGGUUUUCGGAUCGUAAAGCUCUGUCUUCGGGGACGAUAAUGACGGUAUCCGAGGAGGAAGCCACGGCUAACUACGUG
rnacentral:rRNA from 1 species